rnacentral:rRNA from 1 species
UGUAACUGACGCUGAGGCGCGAAAGCGUGGGGAGCAAACAGGAUUAGAUACCCCUGGUAGUCCACGCCGUAAACGAUGAGUGCUAGGUGUUAGGGGUUUCGAUGCCCUUAGUGCCGAAGUUAACACAUUAAGCACUCCGCCUGGGGAGUACGACCGCAAGGUUGAAACUCAAAGGAAUUGACGGGGGCCCGCACAAGCAGUGGAGCAUGUGGUUUAAUUCGAAGCAACGCGAAGAACCUUACCAGGUCUUGACAUCCUUUGACCACUCUAGAGAUAGAGCUUUCCCCUUCGGGGGACAAAGUGACAGGUGGUGCAUGGUUGUCGUCAGCUCGUGUCGUGAGAUGUUGGGUUAAGUCCCGCAACGAGCGCAACCCUUGAUCUUAGUUGCCAGCAUUCAGUUGGGCACUCUAAGGUGACUGCCGGUGACAAACCGGAGGAAGGUGGGGAUGACGUCAAAUCAUCAUGCCCCUUAUGACCUGGGCUACACACGUGCUACAAUGGAUGGUACAAAGGGCUGCAAAACCGCGAGGUUGAGCGAAUCCCAUAAAGCCAUUCUCAGUUCGGAUUGUAGGCUGCAACUCGCCUACAUGAAGCCGGAAUUGCUAGUAAUCGCGGAUCAGCAUGCCGCGGUGAAUACGUUCCCGGGCCUUGUACACACCGCCCGUCACACCACGAGAGUUUGUAACACCCGAAGUCGGUGAGGUAACCUUUUGGAGCCAGCCGCCUAAGGUGGGACAGAUGAUUGGGGUG